rnacentral:lncRNA from 10 species
UGAUACCUCUGCAUGCCGGGGAGCAAUUCCAUCCAGAUGUGGGGAGGUCUGGGAGGUUAAACCGUUUCCUCCAGAUCACAUUCCCGGGAAGACGAACCCAGCUGUGCCUGACUGCUCCUUUCUUCUCACUGCUUCUGCGGAGGUGGAGACGCCCGCGUAGCCCGUGUUGUCUUCCUCUGCCCACUCCAGGCCAAGCAUCCCCCUUCCUGUCACGCGCUCUUUGAUGGCUUCACUGUCCUGGACACCCCCUCAGAUCUGUGCUGUCUCAGAGAAAGCAAGCGAGAAUGGGCCCACGGUGCUCCUCGUCUUUGGAAAUGGAUUUUACCUUUAUAAGUGAGAGCUUUCAGAGGCACAGAGUCCUGGGGCUGCAUAGGAACAGGGGGCCUGGUCGGGGCUCUUUUCCUUUCCGGGACCUCUUUCUCUAUAAAGAAAAUAAAAAUGCGAUUUGAGGACUGUUGGUACAAAUAUGAAUGUAAUCUAGGCUGGAUUCAUAACUGUAUAUUAUUAUUAUAUUAAAAUUUG